UACAGAGGUCCCAAGCGUUGUUCGGAUUCAUUGGGCGUAAAGGGUUCGUAGGCGGCGCGGUAAGUCAGGUGUGAAAUCUCGGGGCUUAACUCCGAAACUGCAUUUGAUACUGCCGUGCUUGAGGACUGGAGAGGAGACUGGAAUUUACGGUGUAGCGGUGAAAUGCGUAGAUAUCGUAAGGAAGACCAGUGGCGAAGGCGGGUCUCUGGACAGUACCUGACGCUGAGGCACGAAGGCCAGGGGAGCAAACGGG
rnacentral:rRNA from 1 species